CGCUAGCGGCAGGCUUAACACAUGCAAGUCGAGGGGUAACAGGAAGAAGCUUGCUUCUUUGCUGACGACCGGCGCACGGGUGCGUAACGCGUAUACAAUCUACCUUUUGCUGAGGGAUAGCCCAGAGAAAUUUGGAUUAAUACCUCAUGGUAUGUAGAGUUCACAUGGACAUUACAUUAAAGGUUACGGCAAAAGAUGAGUAUGCGUUCUAUUAGCUAGAUGGUAAGGUAACGGCUUACCAUGGCGACGAUAGAUAGGGGCCCUGAGAGGGGGAUCCCCCACACUGGUACUGAGACACGGACCAGACUCCUACGGGAGGCAGCAGUGAGGAAUAUUGGGCAAUGGAGGCAACUCUGACCCAGCCAUGCCGCGUGCAGGAAGACUGCCCUAUGGGUUGUAAACUGCUUUUAUACAGGAAGAAACACUCCCUCGUGAGGGAGCUUGACGGUACUGUAAGAAUAAGGAUCGGCUAACUCCGUGCCAGCAGCCGCGGUAAUACGGAGGAUCCAAGCGUUAUCCGGAAUCAUUGGGUUUAAAGGGUCCGUAGGUGGAUAAUUAAGUCAGAGGUGAAAUCCUGCAGCUCAACUGUAGAAUUGCCUUUGAAACUGGUUAUCUUGAGUUAUUAUGAAGUAGUUAGAAUAUGUAGUGUAGCGGUGAAAUGCAUAGAUAUUACAUAGAAUACCAAUUGCGAAGGCAGAUUACUAAUAAUAUACUGACACUGAUGGACGAAAGCGUGGGGAGCGAACAGGAUUAGAUACCCUGGUAGUCCACGCCGUAAACGAUGGUCACUAGCUGUUUGGACUUCGGUCUGAGUGGCUAAGCGAAAGUGAUA
rnacentral:rRNA from 1 species